GGGUAGUAGAGGGGUUGCAGUAUGAUCCUGACACUGAAAAAAACCCUAGAUUUCUCAGCUUCUGGGACCUAUAAUAGCUGACUGUACCCAUGAGGUGCAACCCACGAGGUGACCAGGUAGCACAGAUAGGGUAUCCCUCAAACCUGCUUCCAGGAAGGCAGCAGCUGGCACGGCCACUCCUGAGUGGCUGGGAUCCAGAGGAAGCAGUUGCCAUUCAGGGCAGAAGAUCAAAGUCUUUCUUUCAUCCUCAGAUGCCUGCUGCCUCUCUGGCCCUGCACCCUGAGGAUGCAGGGAGUGCCCCACAGCCCCUGUCCCAUGGAGUGCACUGCCAAAGCACUCUAUGCCAAUGCCCUAUAACCACCUCCCACUCCACAGACCACUGCAUGUCCCACAACCCUUGGCCUCAGCCCAACAGGAGAUCUAAUUUAGCACCACACUCCAGCAUUUGGUUCUCGGCUUUUCCAUCCCUUCCAGACUGAAGAGCCCUGUUAGUCACAGUAUUUCUUGCACAGAAGUGUUCAAGUCACCUCACAACAUUGUCCAUGAUAAGCUGCUGGAAAAGCAGCUUUUCACAGAACAUUCUGAGUUGGAAAGGACCAACAAGGAUCACCAGAUCCAACUCUUAAGAUAAUGGACUAUGCAGGAAUCAAACUCACAACCUUGGCAUUACUAGCACCAUGCUUUAACCAGCUAACCUCAGAGCUGCGUGUGUUUCCGCUGCUUUUAGCACGGGUCACACAGCUGGUCAAACGAUGGUCAGCUUAUGCUGAAAAACUGAACUGAAACUGUAUUUUCCUUCCCACAUUUUGAUCUCAUGUUCUCAGCAUCAGUCCCAGAGGAAGGACACUGGCACAUCAUGAGAUAUUGUACAAAAGAAUGUAGAGUUAUUUGAGUCGAGUCAGAGGACUCACAAGCCCCCCAGGAGUUCAGAGGACACAAGGACAUCUCCUAAAAUAGCCAAGCCAAGACACAAUGAGGAGGAACACCCUGAUGCUGGGAAGACAGAUCAGAAGUCAACAGUAACCAAUCCUACAUCCUCUUUCCUCUUCAUCUAUUUCCCAGUUUUUGCUCUGCGCUCCUUGCAAAGAUUUUUUGGUUGAGAUGGGCAGCAUGAGCACCUUGGCAUCACCAGCAGUACAGCAGGUGUCUAUGAGAGAGGUGGCACCAGCCACCAAGCACUGAUAGCCUGCUAACUCCCAGUGCAGGGUGUUCCACUGCUCACAGGUACACAGCACUGCCUUUGAAGAACCCCUCAUUUUAAGGUAUUUCACUGCCAACACCAGCUGAGAUGCAAAGUCUGAGUUUCUAGAAUGUCAGCUUUCUUCUCUUUUUCCAGGCACGUGUAGAAAUGGGGAACUGAGUGCUGAUCACACGCAUGUUGUGACUGGGAACGGAAAACACCUGCAGCAAGUCUGUGCCGGGGCAGGUCGGGGCCGGCGCGGAGCAGCCUCUCCCCUGCUAUGGGCGGAAGGGAGGUACAGCGAGCCGAGGCCAGGGGGAGGAGUACAUCCCAUUGCCGCCUUCCUCGCUUGCCUUGCGGCAUUGCUCCAGGGAACGUGCGGAACCCGAGCUGUCUUGCAGGUGUCCCUCCUUUGGCGGGAUCUCGGUGUGGAAUCGCUGCCCUGCGCCUGGCACGGUGUGCACAGGUAAAGAAAGCGAGGCCAGGUAGGGCACACAGCAGCCACUCGCCCGAGCCCUUGGUGCGGGCGGCGGGACACGGAGUCGCAGGAGAGCAAAUGAGCAGCGGGGACGUGCCCGGUGGAGUGUGCUGAGUGGCGGACUCAUCGCAGCGGGGCGGGAGGCGGCGCCAGGCUUGCGGACAGAAUAGGGGCGUUCCCGGCCGCCCGCGGAGCCGUUCGCGCUACGGGCGCCGCAGUCGCGGCCGACGCGGCGGUGGAGCGACUGCGGGGCUUUGGUGAAGUUGGUUUGCAUUCGUCCAGAAGGCAAUGGACCAUGCCAGAGCAGCAAUCUCUAACUUG